rnacentral:rRNA from 1 species
GCCAGCCCGCUCAGAAACUUAAAGGAAUUGACGGGGCCGCACAAGCGGUGGAGUAUGUGGUUUAAUUCGAUGCAACGCGAAGAACCUUACCUGGUCUUGACAUCCCGGAGACCCUUAGGAAACUAGGGGGUGCUUCCAUCUGGAAGAAUCUGGAGACAGGUGCUGCAUGGCUGUCGUCAGCUCGUGUCGUGAGAUGUUGGGUUAAGUCCCGCAACGAGCGCAACCCUUGCCUUUAGUUGCCAGCAGUUCGGCUGGGCACUCUAAAGGGACUGCCGGUGUUAAACCGGAGGAAGGUGGGGAUGACGUCAAGUCCUCAUGGCCUUUAUGACCAGGGCUACACACGUACUACAAUGGCCGAUACAAAGGGCAGCGACACUGCGAGGUGAAGCCAAUCCCGUAAAAUCGGUCUCAGUCCGGAUUGGAGUCUGCAACUCGACUCCAUGAAGUUGGAAUCGCUAGUAAUCGUGGAUCAGCAUGCCACGGUGAAUACGUUCCCGGGCCUU